UUGGUUUUGUUGUUGAGGGGUGAGAUUGGCUUCCCCUCUUCGUGCUCUCAUUUUUCCUGCCCUUUAGCUGUGAGCCCCCAGCCCCAACCCCCAAGGAGGAAAGAGGGAGGUAACUAAGGAAGAGUAGAGAGUAGUUGCGUGUGCGAGUGGAGCCCGCCCCUUGGGCUGACCGCGUGGUGCCCGCAGAGACCCCUCCCUUCCCCCAGCGUCCAGCACCGGGAGGUCGUGGGUUUGCGCCAUGCUCGGCAGCUGGAGUCACGUCGUUUCUCUGCCGGUUUCCAGCAUCUUAGAAUUUAUACGUCUUUUUUAGUUAAAAAAACAAAAUACGUUUCCAGAUGCCUGACUUUUCCUGGGCUUCUAGAGAAAUCGACUCAUUCUUCCCCCUCCCUUUCUAACCCCUUUGUGGUCCACAGGGUUGUUUUAAGCAAAGCCAAACAACCCCUCCAAAAAAAGCAAACGAAAAAUUCCGGGUAAAAUCAACUAUGCGGAGACCACGUUUUCGUUGAAGCUGCCCUAAGACCAAAGAAGCUGAGACCGACCUUGAAGGAUUAACGAUUUCUGUAGCUGAAAUGUUCUAAUUUUACUGACGUUUGGUGGAGACGGUUUUUCGUUUCCUUGCUGUAAAUUCAAAAGCAUGAAAGAUCAGCCUUAAGCUAGCAUCUGCUGCCAAUCCUCCUCUUUUUUGCUGAGGAAGACUGGUCCUGAGCUAACAUCCGUGCCCAUCUUCCUCUACUUUAUAUGUGGGACGCCUACCACGGCAUGGCUUACCCAGUGGUGCCAUGUCCGCAACCAGGAUCCGAACCAGCGAACCCCAGGCUGCCGAAGCUGAACGUACAAACUUAACCGCUGCGCCACCGGGCCAGCACCUAUAAAACAAUUUAUUUUCAUAAAAGGUUUCCUUCUGUUAGAAUCAGAUCCUCAUGCUUAAUAUGAACUUAGAUAAGAAAUUACCACAAUACAGAAUUUGUGGGUAGAAAAUAAAAAAGGAAAACAAAAAUGUCAAAAUUUGAAAACUGAUGAGUUCAAUGUCAAACUACUAGGUGGUCAGUCAGUUGAAUGUUUACUAAUAGUUACAUUUGGCCUUAAAUUAACUUUCUAACUGCUUCCCUUAGAUUUCUGAAAAAUGGAUCAAUUAGGAUAUUUUAAUUUUGUAGAAACAAGUUAUAGAUAGAACAAAAAUUGGAGACUCUUGAAAUCAAUUGGAAGAUAUUCUAGACCAAACUAAAAGUAAACAAAAUAUCAAUAGAUUUAGGUAACAAAAUAUUAUUAGAUUUAGACUUGGAUUCAAAGAAUUUAAGGUUCUCAGUUUAAAUAUCUGUGUUUCCUUCUAUUCCUAGUGGUUUCUUGAAAUAUGCUGUAAGAAUUACUGAGAAAAAAGAUAUACAGAAAAUUUUCAUUUGUGCUGCAAUGACUUUAUCUGGCUUGGGCUGUUCCCUUCUAGAGUUGAAACAUUCAUUUGAGCAACAUUUUAGAGGAAAUUUUCCAUAGAAUUAAAGAAUUUCGGCACAGUUGCUCCUUUUUACAGAAUAGCUUUAGCAGCGGUGCGCUUGAAAACCUAGCAAAAAUAAUGGGAAUAGCAGAACUCUAAGAGGAAAAAAAGACUCUGCAGAUGAAUCUUUAUUUUAAAUAUUUGAAAUAAGCACAGUUACAGGACUCAGACAUUAAUAUUCUGUGAUUAUGAGUAUCCCUGUGCAUUUUAUCUGUUUAAUUCAUUCUCAUAAAAUGAAGGAGAGAGAAGCUUGAUGGAGCAAACUGAGUGAUUUAGCAACGUUUUUUAUUUCUCGCUUAUUUGAAAGAAUAAAUUGUAAAGCAAAAAAAAGAAGAAGCUCAUUGGAAUUUAUUGAAAGAGAUUUGGCUGGUGCUGUCACCUAUGAUAUUUCAAAUUUUUUGCAGAGACUGAAAUUUUCAGAGUCUAGGCAAAUUGAAAGGCUAUUUCGUUAACAAAUUUUACAGUGUGAAAGUCAAUAAAGACUGUCAAUGACAACUUAGCAGAGAAGAUUAUUUAUCUUGUUUAAUUUAUAGAUCCAAGUGCUUGUUUUAAAAAUAAAAUCCUUUUAAUCUGACCCUGCUACUUUGGUGUUAUUAAUAAUGGAAAUAUAAGAUAAGAGAUUUUUAUUUCAUAAAACUUUUAUUCCACUACAAAAUUUUGUCUAUUUUUAAUGAGGAAAGUCAUUAUGGUCUAAGAUAAAAAACUAAUAAUUGUUUGAAAACAAGGAAGGCAACCAAAUUUGGCUUUAUUUUUCCUCCUAAUUUCUGAGUUAUGUUUUCCAUGUUGAAAAUCUUUCAUGUCCAUGACGCAUUCAAGGGUAAACACAUUGUGCACUUUAUUUUUGAAACUUAUCUCAUUUGUCUUUGUUCUUUUUAUUUUGUAAUAUAAUGAACUUAAAAUAAUUAAGUAUCAAUUAUUCCUAGCUUAGAGUACACUUGCAGGCUGGUGUCAACUGAGUUGUUAUUUUCCAUGAAGCCUUCUCUGAUCCUUAAAACUAGAAAUCAUCUCUCCCUCCUCUGGUAUCAGAAUUUCUGUGUGAAUUUGACAUAGCACUUUGUAUAUUGUGAGACAUUUAUCAGUAAAGAAAUUUUUUUACACUUAUCUCCUCUAUUAGAGUGUAAACGAAUUAAUCUUUUAUUAAUUAAUAAAAGGUCUGACAUCUUUGUAUGUAAGUAAACUCCGUGAGUGCAGGGAUUUUUGUUUGUUGAUUGGUUGGUUGGUUUGUAUGUGGCUCACUGCUAAUUUUCUAAUACCUAAAAUUCUGCCUGGCACAUGGUAUAUACUCAAUAAAUAUUUGUUGAAUGAAUGCAUGAUACCAUCUGAUAUCCAGCCUUCUAUGAAGCAAGUCCUCAAUUAAAGUUUUUGAAUAUACAAAUGCUGGGGGGUUUUUGUGUAAAUACAUGCUCCACCCCACUCUCUAAAAGGCAUGGUGACUCUGUUUCAAAGGAAAAACUAGUUACUUUGGGAUUGAGACUAUAGAUUAAUUCUUCUGAACCAAAAUAUAUUGAAACUCUAUAGUUUUCAAUUUUGUAAGAGUGAUGAAAAGUCUUUGGUUAUAAUUCAGUAUCAGUACAUCAUGUCAGAAAGAGCAUCAUAAACUUUUUUUUUGUUUUUUUUUUUUUGUUUUUUUUGUUUUUUGGAGGAAGAUUAGCCCUCAGCUAACUACUGCCAGUCCUCCUCUCUUUGCUGAGGAAGCCUGGCUCUGAGCCAACAUCCGUGCCCAUCCUCCUCUAGUUUACACGUGGGACGCCUACCACAGCAUGGCUGCCAAGCAGUGCCAUGUCCGCACCCGGGAUCCGAACCAGCGAACCCCGGGCCGCCGAGAAGCGGAACGUGCGAACUUAACCGCUGCGCCACCGGGCCGGCCCCAAGCAUCAUAAACUUUUAUCGCUUCAGACAUAGACUAACUUCUGAAAAAUAAGAAUAGGCAGCAGAACUGAAUUCAAAGGAAACUUUUCUUUAGGCUUACUAUGAAUGAUUUUUGUCACAUUUGGCAAAAUAUACUGAGUAAACAUGAGGUUUUUAUGAUGUGGUCCUAAUGAUGUAGUCCUGUGAUAUAGUUCUAUUUGAAGAGAAGAAAUGGCAAAAUUGUCCGGAAAAAAGAGCCAGUCUGUGAUCUAAACUCCUUAAACAAUAAUUCUCGAGUGUAAAAAGUAAAGUUGCUGAGAAACUCAUAAACUAUCAAAUGGGGUUCUAGGAAGUUACAGUAAACUCACUUCACCUUCUACUUUAAAAUAGCUAUAAUUUUCAGAUAGUGAAAUAUAAGCUUUGAUUUUUAUGGAAUCAUUAAUUUUUGCAUUUCUUAUUUCAUGAUGGGCAAUAUCAAAUAGUUAGCAUUAUCCAAAAUGGAGUAGUAUAAUGACAUAAGGUUUCAUUGUGUGGUUAGCUAACAAAAAUGGUUUAUAUAAUUGUUAGAUUCUGAAAAUGAUGAAUAUAGCAGAUACAUUUUUCCAUAAAAACUUUAUGUUUUGGGUAUAAUUUGAACUGCAUUUGUUCGAGUCUACAAUUCUCUCUCCAAUAAGUGUCAUCAAAAAACAUUUGGUAAAGUAGUGUUUACUUAUUUAUUCAACAAAUAUUUGUGCCCCAGAGGGUAUAAGACAUUGUGGAGGAUACAGAUUGAUGUAUAAGCUGUGGUCCUUGCUCACCGCCCCUUAAAGCGGCAGUGUAUAAAUGCCAUUCAUGCUGUACAUAAAAAUGUCAGUGAUGUACCUAAAAUGCCCUUAAAUUUCUUCAAUGGCCCAUUUUAAAGCUUUUAUUUAGGAAUUUAUUUAA
rnacentral:lncRNA from 1 species